GAGUUUGAUCAUGGCUCAGAGCGAACGUUAGCGGCGGGCCUAACACAUGCAAGUCGAGCGAGAAAGUGGCUUCGGCCAUCAGUAAAGCGGCGGACGGGGUGAGUAACACGUAGGUAAUUUUCCUUCCAGCGGGGGACAACGUUCCGAAAGGGACGCUAAUACCGCGUACGUUUCUUGGGACUCCGGUCCUGAGAAGGAAAGCUAGGUAGCAAUAUCCGGCACUGGAUGAGAAGCCUGCGUAGCAUCAGCUAGUUGGUGGGGUAACGGCCUACCAAGGCGAAGACGCUUAGCUGGUCUGAGAGGAUGAUCAGCCACACUGAAACUGAGACACGGUUCAGACUCCUACGGGAGGCAGCAGUAGGGAAUCUUGCGCAAUGGGCGAAAGCCUGACGCAGCCAUGCCGCGUGAAUGAUGAAGGUCUUAGGAUUGUAAAAUUCUUUCAGCGGGGACGAUAAUGACGGUACCCGCAGAAGAAGCCCCGGCUAACUUCGUGCCAGCCGCCGCU
rnacentral:rRNA from 1 species